UACGGAGGGUGCGAGCGUUAAUCGGAAUUACUGGGCGUAAAGGGCGCGUAGGCGGCUGAUCAAGUCAGGUGUGAAAAGCCCCACGGGCUUAACCGUGUGAAGUGCAUCUGAAACUGGUCGGCUUGAGUAUCGGAGAGGAAAGUGGAAUUCCCCGGUGUAGAGGUGAAAUUCGUAGAUAUCGGGAGGAAUACCGGUGGCGAAGGCGACUUUCUGGACGAAUACUGACGCUGAGGCGCGAAAGCGUGGGG
rnacentral:rRNA from 1 species